GGACAACUCCACAGAAGACAGAUUUUCCCUGUGUUACUGGGAGGACUUGAAGUUCCAAGAUGGGUAGCGACUCGCCCAGGGUCAUCGGCUCCUGUGGGCCACAUUUUGCCAAAUCCCCCACCUGCAGAGUCACUGGCCAUGGCCUGGUUCUGCUAGCAGUGUCCUCCGGCCACCUUUGGUUUGGGCGUAGAAACCCAUUUGUAGUGUCAUCACUCCUGUGUCUCGUAUUUAGAAGCCUAGGGUUUAGGGGUUGCUUCUUUUUCUUUCAGUAGGUGAAUCCCCAUUUGAAGCCCCUCUCGAAAAUGGACCAAAUGAACCUGCUCAGAAUUGAACCUCUACUUCCCCAGCCCCACACCCUUAGAUUUGGAGUUCUGUUUAAAAGAAGUGCAUGUCCCUAGGGCUGAUGAGAACACUGGCCUUGGGACUUCCACAGUGAAAGGCAGGAGAUCGGAUGCAACACAGAUGCUCCUGGCUCCUAAGCAGGUGGGGUCACUCUGGCCAGUUAACCCCUUCUGGGGGUGGCUCUGAGCCAGCAGCCCAGGGCUGGGCACAUGGAGAGAUGCCUGGACAGGGUCUAUUCCCACCAGGCUUCUAUCAGCAUGUCCAGCCAUCACACUGCCAGGGGAGGAGGAAGUGAUGCCAGCACACGAGAAGGAAGACACUGGGACUCAGAGCCUCCUGUCCUCCCCGCCAACCCCAUGCACCCAUUCAACAGAUGGAGCUCAAGUAACCUACCCCAUGUCACCCAGCUGAGGCUAACGAGCAGGGAAAUGGGAGGAAGGAUGCCUCAAUCCUAAACAAGAUCCUAAAACAAGCACUUGGUGGCCUGAGUCUCUGGGGUGGGAGAUAUCCUGGGGCCCUAAAUCCAGCUCCUAGUACAGAGCUACUCUUUGUAGGUCUUCAAUAAGUGGUUAGCGGAAUGAAAGAGGCCUUGAACCCUUGUGGCCAGGGCUCCUGUUCCCACAGGCUUCAUAUUAAGCCCCCUUGUCCCUCUUUUCCUUUCCAGAUUCCUCAGCCCCUGGGGGCAGCCCUCCACCCUAAGAGAAAUCAAGAGAGGGAUGAGUCAGGACAUUCCUUCCCUGCCAACUCACCCUGCUGCAUGGGAUCCGAAUCAACCAACACCCAUUCCAAACACACUGGUUACACCGGCCAGCCACCACCCUCAUGUUGAUACACACCCAGCUCUGCCUUUAAGGGUGGCACCCGGCUUGCUGUUCCUUGGAGGCCCACACCCUCUCUGCAGCUUUACCCUCUACUUUAAAACUCCCACAGAAACAGAUGAUCCUGGCCCCUGGGAAGCACCUCCAGUUCUCAGGAGUCAGGCACUUCCCCUUCCAUUGAGCAUGGCUAUACUUAGUGAUUUGCUCCUAACAAAUAAGAUGUGGCAGAAGUGACGGUGCGUGAUGGUGUGUAAGAUGGGGAAAUAAAAGACAUCGUGGCUUCCUCCUUGCUCUCUCUUGGACUGCCUGCUCUGGGGGAAGCCAGCUGCCAUUUCGGGGUAUACUCUAACAGCCCUAUGAAAAGCUUAGUGGUAAGGAACUGAGGCCUCCAGUCAUCAGCAGUAUGAGUGAGUCUGCUUGGUAUUGGAUCCUCCAGCCCCAGUUGAGCCUUCAGAUGACUGCAGCCCCAGCCAACAGAUUGAGUACAACCCCACGACAGACCCUGAGUCAGAACCACCCAGCUAAGCUGCUGCCAGAUUCCAGGCCCACAGAAAUGGUGAGAUAAUAAAUGUUUGUUGUUCUAAGCCACUAA